AAUGAACGCUGGCGGCGGGCCUAACACAUGCAAGUCGAACGGCAGCACAAUAAGAUUUUUCCCCUACGGGUGGCGAGGGGCGGAUGGGUGAGGCGUACAUAAGCUUCCACUAUUUCUUGGGUAACAACGGAAAAAAACAUCCGCUAAUACAGAAUAUGUCCAACGGGUGGAAUCAGUAGAGCUUCGCGCCUUUGCUGUUUCAUAGAGACGAUGCCGGAUUAGCUAGUUGGCGUGGUAAGGGCACACCAAGGCAACGAUACGUAGCCUGCCUGAGAGGGUGAUCAGCCACACUGGAACUGAGACACGGUCCAGACUCCUACGGGAGGCAGCAGUGGGGAAUAUUCGGCAAUGGGCGCAAGCCUGAUGCAGCCAUGCCGCGUGAGUGAAGAAGGCCUUCGGAUUGUAAAGCUCUUUUAUUGGGAAAGAACAAAUGCGUAUUAAUCCCCGGCCGUUCUGACGGUACCCAAAGAGUAAGCCCCGGCUAACUUCGUG
rnacentral:rRNA from 1 species